AUGGAUGAUCAGGAUCCUGGGGCAUUAGACUACUUCAGCAAAAGUGGCUUCAGGAGCUGGGGUUGUGGUGAAAGUCCGCCUUCAGUCUCAGAGACCGUUAGUAGCCAGAAAAUUGACACCUCCUUCCAGAUUCUGGAGUCUAUCCUACACCAAAUCACACUCCACUCCACAAUCCCGAGGGAAGUGUCUCCUAUACUACAAAGGUGUCCUGGAGCCCUGUACCUGUGCCCAAAUGAAACUUGCUGUGCCACUUGGUUUCUGGAUCCUACACUAUUCACUGGCACCUUGGAAGCAUUUGUGAAGAUUGUGAGGCAUGAGGGCACUAGGGCCCUGUGGAGUAGCCUCCCUGCCACCCUAGUGAUGACUAUGCCAGCUACCUCCAUUCACUUCACUGCUUAUGACCAACUCAAGGCCUUUCUAUGUGAUCAUUCCUUGACCUCUGACCUCUACACAUCCAUGGUGGCUGGUGACCUCACCCGCAUGAGCACUGUGUGACAGUUGCCAGCUCCUUGGAGCUUGUGCAGACCAAGCUGCAGGUGCAGCAUAAGUCUUAAGAUGAACCAACUACAUGUGUUCAAGCUGCAGUGACACUGGUCUACUGGCGCUCAAUAAAACUAGGCUGGGGUCCCACAGCUCUUGUACCCUUCUCAGAUGUGUACGGUUCAACUUUGAGUUGGUGAAGAGUUGGCAAGAUGGGCUAAGACCAAAAGAACAGACAUCUGUGGGGCUCAGCUUUGUGGCUGGUGGGAUUUCAGGAAUGGUGCCUGACACCCUUACCCUACCCUUUGAUGUGGCAGAGACAUAGCUUCAAAUGUCACUGGCAGCAGUGGAGGCUGUGAGAGUGGAACCACCAAGAGUUGACUGUACCUGGCUCCUGCUUCAGAGAAUCUAGGUCAUAUCUGGCAUCAGGGGACUCAUUGUAGGUUUCCUCUCAAAUAUCAUCAAGGUUCUGCCCUCCUGUGCCAUCAUGAUUAAUACUUACAUGAUUUGUCAAAAAUUCCUUCAGAGGAUCAACCAGGAGCAGCCCCUGGGCUAUUCAAAGUUGAGGAGCAACCAGCUCUUACACUGA